GACGAACGCUGGCGGCGCGCUUAACACAUGCAAGUCGAGGAUAGCGGCGGACGGGUGAGUAAUGCCUGGGAAUCUGCCUGGUAGUGGGGGAUAACGUCCGGAAACGGGCGCUAAUACCGCAAACUAUCAGCUGAGCUUAGGUCGGAUUAGCUAGUGGGUGGGGGAAAGGCCUACCAAGGCGACGAUCCGUAACUGGUCUGAGAGGAGUGUCAGUCACACUGGAACUGAGACACUGUCCAGACUCCUACUGGAGGCAGCAGUGGGGAAUAUUGGACAAUGGGCGAAAGCCUGAUCCAGCCAUGCCGCGUGUGUGAAGAAGGUCUUCGGAUUGUAAAGCACUGUAAGUUGGGAGGCGUUACCAACAGAAUAAGCACCGGCUAACUUCGUGCCAGCAGCCGCGGUAAUAC
rnacentral:rRNA from 1 species